UCCCCGUGACUCACAGAUACUUCCAAAACUAGCUUGCAGGUGUCGUGGAACCAUGCAUAUGACGCAACUAAGCUCAAGGAGGAGCUCGAUGAAGAUCUUGUCCUUUAUGUUGUUCUGCUUCCAGUUGAUCAGUAGUGGAGCCCAGUUGGGGUCGAUCGGGGACCUUGUCGCAUUUGGGGUUCUUCUUUUAUUUUGGUUCCGUAGUCGGACCUUGAUUGUAUUUGGAUGUUGUAAUGCUUUAUUCAUGUAUUUGUGUGAAGUGACGAUUGUGAUCCAACUAUGUAUCUAUUUCCCUUAUGUAUUACAUGGGUUGUGUGAACAUUACCUCACUUGCAACAUUGCUUUUAAUGCGGUUAUGCCUCAAAGUCGUGCUUCGACACGUGGGAGAUAUAGCCGCAUCGAGGGCGUUACAAGUUGGUAUCAGAGCCUUCCCCGACCUUAGGAGCCCCCACUGCUUGAUCGAAUUAGCGGACGAGUUGAGUCUAGAAAUUUUUUUGAGUCAUCUAGGAAUUAUAUAUCGGAGAGUUUAGGAAUUCUUUUUACUCCCCAGUCCCUUCAUCACUCUGGUAAGGCAUCCUGACGUACAGUUUUGACUCUUCUCUUCUCAAAUUUCACUAAAUUUUUUUAGGAUCACGCGGGUAUCUUGGAAUCGUUCCGAUCGAUUUGUGACGAGAACAUUGUUCUGGGUGCCUCCUGUCAUUUAGGGGUUGUGGCAGUGUCCGGGGGAGUUGAGCUCCGAGGUGUUGUCGUCACAAUUUUAUCGUUGCAGUUCUGGAAUACCUGACUUUAGUUUCGCCGACAUUGAAAAUCUCUUUUAUGUAGUUGUUGGUGAGAUAACCUCGACGCCACCCAGUACUGGGGCGGGAGUUUGGGAGUAUUUCCAUAACUCGUAUAACGGAUGCUUUUCAAAGGUUGAGGUAAACGAUUUCUAAAGGUUUCUUGGUUAUGUGUUGAAGGAUGGAUGCAACUGGAUGUAGGAUUUGCUAGUUUUGGGUGAGAUAUUAUGCUUCCCCUGUAUCCCCAACACCUGAUUGCAUAACCGGAAAGGUUCGGGAGUUUCAUAGGUGGGAAUUCAAGUAGCUCGUAGGAUAUCUUUCCGACAGAUGUAUGAUAUGAAAUUGGGGUUCUACGUCUAGUUGUCCGCCUAUUCACGGUUGGUUUUACAGUGGUCUCGUUGUGUCUUAAAGAGUCCUUGGCUAUGCCGACUCGGGGACGCUUCGUAUGUCAUGUGCAUUGCCUUGUACAUGAUGGUGCUGUACGAUCGAGCCCGUGUAGGCCCCACCACGAAAACUUCAGACGAAAUCUCUAUCAUAUGUUUUUUCCGGCUUAUUUUGCAUGCCAAUCCUUUGUUUUGUUUUGAGUUGUGUUAUUCGAGUUGCUUCAGUGUCAAGUAUUGACUCCAUACCUUCUCUAAACGGUGUUCUCAUACUCCGAUGUGAAUACCAAUGCUCAUGAUAAUCGAGAUUGUCAUGUCAAUCCUUUUCAACCGACGUGUUUUCUCUUCAAGUGGAUUCGUCCAUUUUCAACAUCCGCAAGCUCGAGUAUCAGUUCUUCUCAACGGUGUUUGCUUCAUCCGUCUUCAAGUUGUCUUUGUUUUCCCGCCCUCCCACCCUUAUUUCUUCAAGGACUCAGAUUUCUUAAUCAAGUAUCUUUUACUCUUGUGAAGUUUCUCCAUCCUUUUCUCGUCAAUGUUCUUAUCCGGUGAUUCUCAUGAAGCUUCUAAUGGAGCUUCAAGCUCAUCAUUCUUCGUUCUUUUUCUUCUCCGGUGGUUUCAAUUCAAGUUUUUUUAGUGUUGAUCAUAUUACUUUUCUUGUUUCAAAUAUUUUAUCAUGCCGGUGCACCUCAUUACCAUCCACUUCUCGCUAUUCAAUUGUUCCGGAGUGCUCUAGAUAUCUCGGAGAUUCGUGUUUUCCACUCUGCAUCCGUUAAAGAUCUUUGGAGGUUGUUAUCUCAUUCUAGCCAUUUAAUUCAACCGGUGCAAUCUCAGUUUCUAGUAAUCGUUCUACGGUGUAUCUUUUGAGUGGGCCCUAAGCCACAGAUCUUUUUCCAAGAUCUUACCUAACUCUUCUUAUUUUCCCAGAGCUAUCCUCAAUUUUUUUUCAAAGUUUGACGUAAGAAUGAUUCAUCAUCAGUCAUAUGUUUUCUCCAAAUUCUUUCAAAUUCUUUUCAUCGUUGGCUCAACCUCUCCUCUUUUAAUCAUUCUGGAGUGUCUCAACAAUUUGGUGGUGUUUCUCAUCGUCAUUCUCAGAUUUUGAAGGCCGAAGAAGAGUUUCUUUUAAAUCUUGCCCCAUUCUCUGCCAUUCUCCCAUAAUUGUUUCGGUUGUGAGAAUUUCUUUUCACCCAUCCAGAGUAAUUCAGGAGUCUUUUCAGUUUGAUUAUCCGGAGCCCACCAUCUAAGAUUUAUUCAUUCCAGCUUUUAGCUCUCAUACUCUAAAUCAUACCGGUGCUUAAAUCAAGGAUGCUCUAAUCAGCUCGUAAUCUCUUCGUUCUCAUGGAUCUAAAUUCUCUCAAGCAACUUCGUUUAAUGGCUAACUCUUCCCGGUGUUUCUUCAUGUUUUAGUCGUUUUUUUAAUUCUUCCCGGUGUUUCUUUAUAUUUUUCAUUGUUCAUUUUCAAUUCUUACGGUGGUUCGUUCAGGAUUUCUCUUCCUUCUUUAUCAUAUCAGUUCAUUCGUUGUUUAGAUUCUACCGGUGGAUCAUCGAAGACCUUCUCAAAUUUAUAAUAUACCUCUCUUAAUUUUUUCUACGAGAAUAAGUAGUAUGCCAAAUCCGUUGCUUGUCAUCAAUCUAAAUUGGUGAAGGAUAAGUAUAAUGCAAUUCGUAUUCUUCUUUCAUCCAAGUGAUUAACUCCUUAUUUCGGAGGCUCAUCAAAUUCUCGGUUUCAUAUGUUUCAUCUUUUCUUUUACCGGAGUUCCAAGCCCUCUCAACUAUAUCGUCACGAAGAUCCAUCUAAUCAUUGCAAGGGUUCAACUUGUGUUUUCAACUUCUCCUUCAUUCCGUUUUGAUCAUCCUUUCGUUACCGGAGUUCUUCAUGGAGGUUCGACAUAAUGUUCCAUCAAGGAUUUAAUUCCUUCUCCAUGUUUUUCAUCGAGAUUCUCUUCUAAGAAGCUCAAGCUUUAUUCUUCUUGCAAUCUGGAGUGCAUUUGUUCUCUCUUAUCUUCUUGAGAUGGUAUUAUGUCAUUCUUGAUAAGUUGAGUUCAUGUUUCAUGAUUCACAGGUUGUUAAGAAUGGGAUAUUUUAAAUCCAUCAACCUCUUCGUUGGAGCUAUCUUGGGUUAUAAUUCACCUAAAGCUUUCCCUAAGGAUUGUUGCUAUUUACGGUGCUUAUAAAUGAUCCAAGUUCUCAUUUAUCCUCCCGGUGAAAUAAGUUUCUCGUCUCCUCGUUGACGUCAAUCCAAUCUUUUGUUUCGUUAGUGGCAGAAUUUCACCUCAUAAUUUGAGAUGUAUUCCAUAAGACCAUAUCAAGCUUAUCCUUUUCGUUGUUGAUUUUUCCAACAACUCCGUUCGAACCUUCUCCUAAAGAUGCUUUGGCAAGCUCAUUUUGGGGUAGAAGGUAUUGUUACUCCUCCAUUCAUUCCAUUCCAUCCUCUCUUUUCUUCCGGAGGUAUUGUGAUGUUUCUCAUUUCUCUUUUCAUCUCAAGUUACCAAGAUCAUGAACUUUUCAUGCUUAUCCUUUUAACCGUAGUGUUGUGCCCUUUGCUCAAGUUCUCUUCGCCUUAUCAAGUCUUGCAUCCCUUCUCAACCGAAGUGCUAUCCGAAUUGGUUCUUUCUUUUCCUUUGUCUUAACGAAGUGUUUUCAACUUCGUUCAUCUCCGUUGCAUUUUUUUCCUUAAAUUUGUUCAACAUCUAAAGGUUCUUUGGUUUCACUCGUUUGUCAAAGGAGCAACUUAGAUUUACCUCUUCUCUUUCUCUUCUGUUUUCCCUCCGGUGCCAUUCUAGAUCUCGGGAUGAGAUCCUCUCGUAGUGGUGGAGUGUUGUGGUGCCCCGAGACCGUUGUGUCAGGUGUCUUCCGGUGUUUCGUUGUUGUUGCCUAGUCAUUUGCUUGCGUGUCGCAUCUUGUCAUGUCAUCAUGUGCAUUGCAUCAUCAUGUUUUCGAAACUUCCAUGCGUCCCGGCCUCCUCGUUCUCUCUAUUGUCCGUUCUGAGCCCAGACACACUUGCACGCUCCCGCGGCAUGUCCGAAAUAUUAUUUUAUAAGUGGCCGGAAAAUGUUCUCGGAAUGGGUUGAAAGUUGGCGUGCGGUCUUAUUAUAGUGUAGAUAGACCGCCUGUCAAGUUUCAUCGCGUUAGGAGUCCGUUUGAUGCCCCAACGAUUAACUAUAGCGGCAUUAUAGCCGGUCUAACGUCGGACGUUUUCGGUCUCCGGAAACAGAUGCCGGGCCCUCCCUCUCUCUUCUCCCCCUCGCAGUCUCGCCACAGCCCACCUAGUCCAUCCUCCUUCCCCUCUUCGCUUCCGGAGUUGUCCGAUGCGACCGCACGGUCCGAAACCCUCUCUGCUCAGUGCAUCAAACACCCCUCGCGCGCGCGUCAAAAAAGCUGUCCCGGACCCGACCCGGAUUGUCGCCACCGUUGUGUCCGGAUCAUCCUCAAACAUCUACAAAACAUCACCUUUUCCUUGUUAGGACUUCCUAACCUAUAUUUUCUCAGCCGUCUGAUAGAUCGAAGGGCUUCCAUUAGUCUGCAUAUAGCCCACUCACUAUAUAACCAGACACAAACCCUAAUUUUUAGGAGGUGUCCCAUCCAUCCCCCAAGCCGCCGCCACUCCUCUUGUCUCUUCCUCCUCAGGUUCAUCGCCGAUCCAAAUCCCCUCCUCGCUUUCACCACCACACCAACCCGAGCCAGUCACCUCUCCUUCCACUUAGCCUCUCCAUCGGGAUCCAUCCCGUUCAACCAACGAGCCCCCUCCUCCUGCUUUGUUCCCCGAAGGGAUCGAGAGAGUUGCCGCCGCCUUGUCACCUCCCGUGCCUCUCGACCCCCGCCUCCUCUGCACGCAUCUCGCCGGAGCAAGCUCACCCCGAUCCAGUCGCUGCCGGUGAACAGUGGCAGAAACCGAGGCCCGCUGCGUUUCCCCGCUCUUUCCUUCUUGUCCACCCCCUUCCCCUGUCUCUCCCUCACAUCUCUCUCUCUCUGCAGGAGACUGCCGUCGCGCCCUCUGCCAUGGAGCUCGCCUCCAUCGUCAGCACCGCACGAGGGCCCCGCCGUCCCCGACCUCCCCGCGGCCCACCUCACCUCGUCAUCCUUCUCUCCUCGCGACCGCGAGCCUGUCGUCGGACGCGCCUCCUCUGGUUCCCGAGGCCGAGUCACCCCGUGCCCGCAACCCCGCGUCGACCCCCUGCCUCAUCUGCGUCGUCGGAGCCCCGAGGAGUUUGCACCGUCCAUUCCCGCGUCCCGCUCGUCCUGGAGUUCCCUGCUUCACCAAGACCACCGCCGCCGCUUCGCUCGAGCGACUGCAGCCUCGGGAGGAGCCCGAGAGCCUCCUCCUGCUCGACCCUGCUGCCUCGCUGCAGACCUCUUCCAGUGUGGACCUCGCCGGAGCUCCGCAGGUCGCCAUGCGCCCCUGCUCCUCCUUCCCUUUCCCUCUCUUCCUCCCUGACUUUUUCUCAUGCCCGUGUCCUGUAGGAGCUCAUCGCGCGCCGACCGUUCCGAGAUCCAAUCCGCGACUCCCGUUGCCGGAAUUGAACCCAGGCACCUCCCCGCGCUCAGUUCCGCCGUCCUCGACCGGUUCCUGCUUGCCCUCGCCCGCACAAGUCCCUCGUCGCGCCGCCUUCGUCAAGUCCCUGCCGUGGCUCUGCUUUCUGACAAGAACAGGGCGAGGUGCCCGCUUGCCCGCUCGCCUGUUCCUUCCCCGUUGACUUUUCAUCGAUGGAUUGCAACGCCCUGGCCCAGCGCGCCAGCCUCCCUGGUUCACCGUCGAACUGGGCCCAAGGCCUCGAAGGCCCAUUGUGAGCAGCUCCCAAAUCCGCCCAGAUUCAGCCUGCCUAUGUUUUUUUCAUGCCCUGUGAAUUUGUCUAUUUAUCCAGGAGUUUGCAGUUUUACAGAAAAGCCCUCAUACAUCAUGCAUAUAAUAACUUAACAACCGUGCAUCGGUUUAAAAUGAUUUAUAUAUGAAACAUGACUAGAAUUUCAUCUAGUUUCGUAAUAUGUCAUUUUGAUCCAUGUUUAAAAUGUUUAAAAUGCUGUUUGUUUAAAUUUGCUUAAAUAACUUGCUAAAAUGAUUUAUUUCAUAACUAAAUAACCGUAGCUCCGAAUUUAACAAACUUUAUAUGUAAAUGGGGUAGAAUUUUGCAUAGUUUAACAUGGUGCACUCUUCUUGCAUGUUUAACAACUAUAAAAUUGUGUUUAGGGCAGAACAGUACCAUAACCAAAAUAUGCACAUGCGGAGUUUCCGGACUUGUUGUUUGUUGUUCCGGCCUCAUUUAACCUUGCCUAGAUAGGUAGUUUUCAUUUGCUUCACCUCUUGCCAUGUUAAUCAACAUUUAAUAUUGUUGGGUACAUAAACGAGAUCGAACUAAAUAACUUGUUGUGGAGUUUCGUCACUAUGCAACUCGUUGCAUAUUGAGCUCCACUUACCAUGUAGUUUUGCUUGUGCACUUUGCCAUGCCAUGAAUCAUUAAACCGGACAUGCAUCAAACUUGGUUGUGCAUCAUGCCAUGUUUAUGUGGUGGUUGUUUACUAUGUUGUUUGCUUCUUUCCGGUGUUGCUUCUUCGGGUUGGUUCUGAUAACAUCGUGAUUGUGAGGACUCGUUCGUCUACGUCCGUUUGUCUUCUUCAUGGACUCGUUCUUCUUCCUUGCAGGAUUUCAGGCAAGAUGACCAUACCCUCAAAAUCCCUUCUAUCUUUGCUUGCUAGUUGCUCGCUCUUUUGCUAUGCCUAUGUUGCGAUACCUACCGCUUGCUUAUCAUGCCUCCCAUAUUGUUGAACCAAGCCUCUAACCCACCUUGUCCUAGCAAACCGUUGUUUGGCUAUGUUACCGCUUUGCUCAUCCCCUCUUAUAGCAUUGUUAGUUGCAGGUGAAGAUUGAAGUUUGUUCCUUGUUGGAACAUGGACAUGUUGUUCCUUGUUGGAACAUGUUUACUUGUUGGGAUAUCACAAUAUAUCUUAUUUAAUUAAUGCAUCUAUAUACUUGGUAAAGGGUGGAAGGCUCGGCCUUAUGCCUGGUGUUUUGUUCCACUCUUGCCGCCCUAGUUUCCGUCAUAUCGGUGUUAUGUUCCCGGAUUUUGCGUUCCUUACGCGGUUGGGCUAUAAUGGGAACCCCUUGACAGUUCGCCUUGAAUAAAACUCUCCAGCAAUGCCCAACCUUGGUUUUACCAUUUUCCUCACCACCACCUACUUUUCCCUUGGGAGUCGCUCUCUCGAGGGUCAUCUUUAUUUUAACCCCCCCGCCCGGGCCAGUGCUCCUCUGAGUGUUGGUCCGAACUGAGCUGCCUGCGGGGCAACCUCGGGGAAACUUGAGGUUUGGUUUUACUCGUAGCUAGUCUCAUCUGAGUGUGCCUUGAGAACGAGAUAUGUGCAGCUCCUAUCGGGAUUUGUCGGCACAUUCGGGCAUUGUUGCUGGAUUUGUUUUAACUUGUCGAAGUUGUCUUGUAGAACCGGGAUACCGAGUCUGAUCGGAAUGUCUUGGGAGAAGGUAUAUCCUUCGUUGACCGUGAGAGCUUGUCAUGGGCUAAGUUGGGACUCCCCUGCAGAGAUUUGAACUUUCGAAAGCCGUGCCCGUGGUUAUGGGCAGAUGGGAAUUUGUUAAUGUCCGGUUGUAGAAAACCUGAAGUUGACCUUAAUUAAAACACAUCAACCGCGUGUGUAACCGUGAUGGUCUCUUUCCGGCGGAGUCCAGGAAGUGAACACGGUGUUGGAGUUAUGCUUGGCGUAGGUUGCUAUAGGAUCACUUUUUGAUCAUGGUUCUUCAUUCGUGCUUUGCCUUCUCUUCUCUCUCUCUUUUGCGAACAGGUUAGCCACCAUAUUUGCUAGUCGCUUGCUGCAGCUCCACCUCAUACAUUUACCUUACCCAUAAGCUUAAAUAGUCUUGAUCGCGAGGGUGCGAGAUUGCUGAGUCCCCGUGACUCACAGAUACUUCCAAAACCAGCUUGCAGGUGUCGUGGAACCAUGCAUAUGACGCAACUAAGCUCAAGGAGGAGCUCGAUGAAGAUCUUGUCCUUUAUGUUGUUCUGCUUCCAGUUGAUCAGUAGUGGAGCCCAGUUGGGGUCGAUCGGGGACCUUGUCGCAUUUGGGGUUCUUCUUUUAUUUUGGUUCCGUAGUCGGACCUUGAUUGUAUUUGGAAGUUGUAAUGCUUUAUUCAUGUAUUUGUGUGAGUUGCGAUUGUAAGCCAACUAUGUAUCUCUUUCCCUUAUGUAUUACAUGGGUUGUG
rnacentral:lncRNA from 1 species